UUGAACACAUUCCUUACUAUUCCACAUCUUCCACUCCAAACAUUUCAUUUCUAGAUACCACCACUAAUAUAGAGCCCACAUCUCUUCCUGUACUAGCAUACACACCACUAAUUUUGAGCCCUCAUCUCUUCCUGUACCAGCAUACACAUCCUCUAUAGUUGAACCUACUCUCCCAUCUGCUCCACCAUGCACACGAUUCUACCGCUACAACUGAUACUCUGACCAUUGCUGCUUCAACUUCCCAGGUUGAUCAACCUCCUCCUCACCGUAAUCCAUCUAGCUUUCGUCAACCUCUGUUCGAUCGACGUCCUCUUUUUUGUUAUAAGCUUAUUCUUAUGCUGGAUGGGCAGAUGAUCCUGAUGGGCAGAUGAUCCUAAUACUUGUCGUUCUACCACGGGCUUCUGCAUUUUUCUUGGUUCCUCUCUUAUUUCUUGGCAUAGCAAGUACUGUUAGGUUUUAGUCUCCUAUUUGAGCAUCAAGAUAGAAUAUAGAGCUAUGGUUGAUAUGGCCUCAGAACUCAAGUGGCUAUGCUAUCUUAUGAGUGACAUGGGUGUCUCUAUGGUGACAACUAUUCCUUUGCACUACGAUAAUAAGAACUCCACUACUAUUGCGGCCAAUCCUGUAUUCCAUGAAUGAACUAAACACAUUGAAGUCGAUUGUCGUCUUGCUCAUUGGGAAUAUAUUUCAAAGCAGAUUAUUCUUCCUUACAUACCCUCUAAGGAUUAGAUAGCUAAUUUAUUCAUGAAAGUUCAUAAUAGUGAUUAGUUUUGCCAGUUUUUGUCCAUACUCUCGUUGUUUAGUCCGUUGUAAGUUUUUUUGGGGGUGGGGGGUAGGAAAGAUAUAUAUCUUGAUUAUAUAUGAG